rnacentral:rRNA from 1 species
UGCAGCAACGCCGCGUGAGGGACGACGGCCUCCGGGUUGUAAACCUCUUUUAGCAGGGAAGAAGCGAAAGUGACGGUACCUGCAGAAAAAGCACCGGCUAACUACGUGCCAGCAGCCGCGGUAAUACGUAGGGUGCAAGCGUUAUCCGGAAUUAUUGGGCGUAAAGAGCUCGUAGGCGGUUUGUCGCGUCUGCUGUGAAAACCCGAGGCUCAACCUCGGGCCUGCAGUGGGUACGGGCAGACUAGAGUGCGGUAGGGGAGAUUGGAAUUCCUGGUGUAGCGGUGGAAUGCGCAGAUAUCAGGAGGAACACCGAUGGCGAAGGCAGAUCUCUGGGCCGUAACUGACGCUGAGGAGCGAAAGGGUGGGGAGCAAACAGGCUUAGAUACCCUGGUAGUCCACCCCGUAAACGUUGGGAACUAGUUGUGGGGUCCAUUCCACGGAUUCCGUGACGCAGCUAACGCAUUAAGUUCCCCGCCUGGGGAGUACGGCCGCAAGGCUAAAACUCAAAGGAAUUGACGGGGACCCGCACAAGCGGCGGAGCAUGCGGAUUAAUUCGAUGCAACGCGAAGAACCUUACCAAGGCUUGACAUAUACGAGAACGGGCCAGAAAUGGUCAACUCUUUGGACA